CCUACGGGUGGCUGCAGUGAGGAAUAUUGGUCAAUGGACGAGAGUCUGAACCAGCCAAGCAGCGUGAAGGAUGACUGCCCUAUGGGUUGUAAACUUCUUUUAUAUGGGAAUAAAAUGUUCCACGUGUGGGAUUUUGUAUGUACCAUAUGAAUAAGGAUCGGCUAACUCCGUGCCAGCAGCCGCGGUAAUACGGAGGAUCCGAGCGUUAUCCGGAUUUAUUGGGUUUAAAGGGAGCGUAGGUGGAUUGUUAAGUCGGUUGUGAAAGUUUGCGGCUCAACCGUAAGAUUGCAGUUGAAACUGGCAGUCUGGAGUACAGUAGAGGUAGGCGGAAUUCGUGGUGUAGCAGUGAAAUGCUUAGAUAUCGCGAAGAACUCCGAUUGCGAAGGCAGCUCACUGGACUGCAACUGACACUGAGGCUCGAAAGUGUGGGUAUCGAACAGGAUUAGAUACCCGAGUAGUC
rnacentral:rRNA from 1 species